rnacentral:rRNA from 1 species
GAUCCUGGCUUAGGAUGAACGCUAGCGACAGGCUUAACACAUGCAAGUCGAGGGGCAGCGCUGAGGUAGCAAUACCUCUGGCGGCGACCGGCGCACUGGUGAGUAACACGUAUGCAACCUGCCUCCUUCAGGGGGAUAACCCAGAGAAAUUUGGCCUAAUACCCCGUAGUCCGCGCGAGGGCAUCCCUGCGCGGGGAAAGCCUUGGCGGAAGGAGAUGGGCAUGCGGCGCAUUAGCUGGUUGGCGGGGCGACGGCCCACCAAGGCGACGAUGCGUAGGGGUCCUGAGAGGAAGGUCCCCCACACUGGUACUGAGACACGGACCAGACUCCUACGGGAGGCAGCAGUGAGGAAUAUUGGUCAAUGGGCGCGAGCCUGAACCAGCCAAGUCGCGUGCGGGAAGACGGCCCUACGGGUUGUAAACCGCUUUAGCCGGGGAGUAACGAGCCGCACGUGUGCGGCCAUGAGAGUACCCGGAGAAUAAGCAUCGGCUAACUCCGUGCCAGCAGCCGC